rnacentral:lncRNA from 1 species
AGUCAUGCUUGUUAACUAAAUAAUUACUAUCAAAAUAUCUACAAAUUAGUAAGUAAAAGAGGUAAUCUCCAAUGCACAAGUCCUGAUGGAAUUUCUUCAUUUCAAUUUCUAAUUCAUUUAGUUACAUCAAGCAGUUUCAGUCAUGUACCUGGAAUUCGAGAGAACAGAAAAGAAGAGUGAGGGUCGGCAUUCAAAGAGAUAGCAGCAAAGUUUCAGCAGUAAAAUCUACCUAGAAACGAUCAAAGGGAAACCAUUUAAACCCACUUGGAACCAAACCACAUCAACAAACACCAACCCUCAGAAAUACACCCCAAAUAAGCUCAAAUGAACCAGAGAAUACUUCAAAUCUCCGAGAUUGCAGACAUCAGCAGCAGAAAAUCAAUGAAACAGUGAAAUUUUUGUUAUUUUCUAUUUUUGUAUGUAAUUCUUUUGUAUUUUUGUGUAUCUAAAUGCUGAAACUAAUCUAAGACUGAAAAUGAAAGGAAAAUCAGAUUUUCCUUGAGAAUUUUUUUAGGAUGAAAGUUGAAGACUCCUUUUACAAGGCAUUUGAUGUCCUUUUAUAGCCAAGAAGAAAGAGAACUUCAGCUAAAGGGUUUGAACAUCAGUCCAUAUUCCCUUUUUUAUUUAAAACCUAUAAUUCUAACUUUCUACCCAAGAAAGUACUACCAAAAACUGAAAGCUACAGUUUCACCCCAAUCUAGAAGCAUCUAGGAUACUCUUUUGGUUAUACAUUUCCUAAAGUUACCCUUUUCUUGUUUUAAAAAUUACAAAACCUAAAGAUUAUACCCUUUUCUAUCCCCAAACAACCCUUGUUUUUACCCUAGAUUUACUACCUAACCUCAAUCCCUUUUAUCCUAGUUAAACUUAACUACAGUUAACUAAAGAGUGAACUUUCAGCUGCAACUUAUCUUAAACACUAAUUAACCCUAAUAUCUAAUAAUCGAUUAACAAACUAAUAAACUGAAAUCAGUCCAAAUCCAAUUCUAUGUCCACCUUUGCAUGAACAGAACAAAGAAAAAGGCGGAUUAACUGACGACCAAUUAUCAUCAAAACAGGUUAAACUGAAUUAUCAUUAGCAACUAAAAGUGAAGAACAAUGAUAUCACGAUUAAACUAAACACAUACCACAAAUAAAUGAAAUUAUAGUGAGAUUAACAAGAACACAGUUGAAUCAAGAAUACACAAUAUGACAAAAUUGAACAUAUGAGACAGCUGGAAUGAAAAGGAAGAAGAAAAGAAACUAAACUAUCCUACUGAAGAAAAAGUCAUAAAAAUAAAAGAUGCUUACCACCAAAAUCACUCGACCCAGAAACAAAUCCCCAAUACAAGUCAAACUGCAUGAACCCUAAAUCCAAAAAUCUGCAAGCUCUACCGAGUUUCCAAAAAUUCUAGCAUAAAAAUCGUCAUGAGGUAGGUUAGGGAACUGUGGGGUACGAAUUUGGAGCCAUUUGGGCAGAGUGCCAUUUUAGGCUCGAACUCAGUCAAAUAUUCUAUGAAGUGUAGUUAGAUUUGAGGGAAGCUGGUGGCAUGAGUAGAAAGAGGAUAGUGAAGAGAGCAAUUGGUGUUAUUUUGAUUGGAUUUGGUGACCGGCACUGCCAGCGGCGGCUUAGGGAAUUGAGGGUGGAGGUCUGUAGAGUUUGAAGGAAAG